UUCAUGUUACGGAUUAUCUCUAUAAGCGGACGCCACCGACAUACUGCGCAAUAUCAAUCCAUGAGUCAUUUCGUGCAACUGCUAAUUCCGAUUUCUGAUUUACUGACCUCAAUUUCAGAGACCAUCAUCGGUGUCGACUAUGCAUAGCUUUGAAAUAUUGGGAAGUAAGGACUACCCCACCACAAACAAGGGACCACGUAUUGCGCAAUAGGUAGAAUGGCUGUCACGACUCACCAUAUGGGAAGGGCAGGAAAAGCGGCGAGAUGACGUAAUGCAAGCAGAGCGCCCCACCCGAGAGGCAGCGCUGCGCCCAGCCACGUCCCCGCCUGCGCAGUCCACAGAACAAAGAACCUUCCGAACUCUCUAGAAAGCAGUCCUUCCCUUACCUUUCUCAAAAGGAAUGUCGGGCUGCCAUCUCUCCCGCAGGGCAGAGGUGCCCUUCGAACGCCUGCGAGACCCAUUUCGACUGCGGAACGGCUGCGAUUUCGGGGUGAAAAGAGCUCGAUUCUCUGCCGACGGGGCGCUCCCUCUCUCGGUCCUCUCGCUCUCUGUUGUGGGGCUGCGAUCAGCUGUUUCUCGCGACGUCACGACGCACACAUACACACAAACACACGAACACACGACCCAGUUUAGCAAGUGUACACACGUUCGGAUCCGUGCGCCGCUGGCUUCGUGUCGCCGCUGGUUGCGAUCGUGUACCGAAUUCCAGACAUUAAAUAUGCAAUAUCCUU